AAAGUGAUAUAAUUUGAGACGGCAGAGGCAUGAUCUAUACACCAGAACUGCUUUGUUAAGCUAAAGUUGCUUUGGCGUCUACAAUCUCAUUUUAAACAUCUGACUGGCGCACAUGCAGUUACAUUCUCUAUAUACGUCAUUCGUUUACAACAGUUCUAUUGCUCCUUACCUUCUACAUAAAAGUUUUACAUUUAAAAAUAGAAGGAAAAAAAAUCAUAGCGGCUUUGUAUUUCUGGUGUAUCUGAUCCCUCAACUAAAGGAACAUAUGUACAACAGGCAUAUUAAGUAUACAAGGAUUAUCCUUUGGAUACUUUAAUAUUAACAUGUUAUGAAUACCAUUUACAAUGGAGAUUUAAUAAGUGUUUUUCCUCUUCUCUUGUAUGUUCUUCUAGAACAGGCAUAUUAUGCAUCUCCACCCAUGAGCAGCUAGUGUGCUGUUGAUGUCAGUCAUUCAUUUCAGCUUGGAUAGAGUUUUAUUUUUGGCCAUGACCAUUAUCCAUACAGACUCCGUAUAGAAUGUUUUAGGACUUAUCCAAAAAAGAUUUAAUUACGUUAGUAACAGCAUUAACGCAGUUAAUCUCUAGAUUUAUUAGCUGGUAAUUUAUUUUAUCUAUUUUCUUUCUAUAAAUCAAAUUUGUAUCUCUAGAGUUAAAAUGCCAAGUCCCUAUAAAAUAUACAUAGAUGUAAUAUUACACAUACAUUUAAAAGAACAUAUUCAAGAAUGAGGUCAAUUCCCUUUAAAUAAAAUGUAACCACAAUGUUCUUUUGAUGGUGACUGACUGUAGGUAAAAAUAAGCCAGCCAAAAGAGGUUACAUGUGAACAGGCAGGAAACAUAGCACAUGGUUACAUCUAAGCUGUAUGCACAAUCAUUGUAACACAAUCAUUGCCAGUACAGCCUAUACUGCUAAUGUGGUGCUUCACGAAAUUGGUGCGUUUGGAUUCAUUUAUCAUAACAGAUUGCCAGCAUUUGUAGUGAAAUAUAUAUUACACACACACACACAUAUAUAUGUAUA